rnacentral:rRNA from 1 species
CUACAGGCUUAACACAUGCAAGUCGAGGGGCAGCAUGGUCUUAGCUUGCUAAGGCCGAUGGCGACCGGCGCACGGGUGAGUAACGCGUAUCCAACCUGCCUUACACUCUUGGACAGCCUUCUGAAAGGGAGAUUAAUACAAGAUGUUAUCAUGAGUAAGCAUUUUCGCAUGAUUAAAGGUUUACCGGUGUAAGAUGGGGAUGCGUUCCAUUAGAUAGUAGGCGGGGUAACGGCCCACCUAGUCUUCGAUGGAUAGGGGUUCUGAGAGGAAGGUCCCCCACAUUGGAACUGAGACACGGUCCAAACUCCUACGGGAGGCAGCAGUGAGGAAUAUUGGUCAAUGGACGAGAGUCUGAACCAGCCAAGUAGCGUGAAGGAUGAAGGUUCUAUGGAUUGUAAACUUCUUUUAUACGGGAAUAAACGGAUCCACGUGUGGAUUUUUGCAUGUACCGUAUGAAUAAGGAUCGGCUAACUCCGUGCCAGCAGCCGCGGUAAUACGGAGGAUCCGAGCGUUAUCCGGAUUUAUUGGGUUUAAAGGGAGCGUAGAUGGGUUGUUAAGUCAGUUGUGAAAGUUUGCGGCUCAACCGUAAAAUUGCAAUUGAUACUGGCAGUCUUGAGUACAGUUGAGGUAGGCGGAAUUCGUGGUGUAGCGGUGAAAUGCUUAGAUAUCACGAAGAACUCCGAUUGCGAAGGCAGCUUACUAACCUGUAACUGACAUUGAUGCUCGAAAGUGUGGGUAUCAAACAGGAUUAGAUACCCUGGUAGUCCACACGGUAAACGAUGAAUACUCGCUGUAGGCGAUAUACAGUCUGCGGCCAAGCGAAAGCAUUAAGUAUUCCACCUGGGGAGUACGCCGGCAACGGUGAAACUCAAAGGAAUUGACGGGGGCCCGCACAAGCGGAGGAACAUGUGGUUUAAUUCGAUGAUACGCGAGGAACCUUACCCGGGCUUAAAUUGCAACCGAAUAUGGCGGAAACGCUAUAGCUAGCAAUAGCGGUUGUGAAGGUGCUGCAUGGUUGUCGUCAGCUCGUGCCGUGAGGUGUCGGCUUAAGUGCCAUAACGAGCGCAACCCUUGCCGAUAGUUACUAACAGGUUAUGCUGAGGACUCUGUCGGGACUGCCAUCGUAAGAUGUGAGGAAGGUGGGGAUGACGUCAAAUCAGCACGGCCCUUACGUCCGGGGCUACACACGUGUUACAAUGGGGGGUACAGAGGGCUGCUACCACGCAAGUGGAUGCCAAUCCCAAAAACCUCUCUCAGUUCGGAUUGAAGUCUGCAACCCGACUUCAUGAAGCUGGAUUCGCUAGUAAUCGCGCAUCAGCCACGGCGCGGUGAAUACGUUCCCGGGCCUUGUACACACCGCCCGUCAAGCCAUGGGAGCCGGGGGUACCUGAAGUGCGUAACCGCAAGGAGCGCCCUAGGGUAAAACUGGUGACUGGGGCU